GCAGCCUGUUCUUCUGCCAAAGACUAAACACCAGCAUUGUUCACACCCUGUUUCAGCCUAGAUAAGACUAGGCCUACUUCUAUCAAAAUUCUCUCAUACAGUCCCCAUCCAGACUCUCACUAUGUCCAGUUCCAUGUAGCUUUGGUGAAUAAAGAACCAAAGCAUCUGGAUACAGCCCUGUGUUAUGAGCGGUCCACAGCAUGUGUAGUGGUGAAACGGCAGUCUUUUGAGGGUUCCAAAAAAAACAUGUUUACAGAAAGUGACAUUGAAUCUAUACUACAGAACAACAAGGAACAUGUGCGCAUUUCUCAACCUACAGGUUCACCUGUGCACUCAAGAGACGAGUUGUGAAAGCAGCCAUUUGCCUGCAACUGAAUAAGGGAUGGCUUGUUGUCAUGAUAUUGUGU